UGAUGUCUUUCUCGCUUGUCUCUCCAGAUUUUUUAAGGAAAAGUGCCGUUUUCUUGUAUAUUGUGCUCGGAAAUCAUGUUUAGUGCAUAACUGGACUCUUAGAGAGGAUUAUGCCAGAAAUUAUCCAGGGUUACGGAUAUCCAAGGACCAUGCUGCCAGUGAAGAAGGAGAUGACGAAUAUCAACACAGCAACAUAUCUUCAAGUCGCAGAGAAACCAGGCUGCCUUUGGAUGGAAUGGACCAAGGAUCGGUAUGGGUCUGGACACGUCAUAUAGCUUAGGUCGUACCUGAGCUCGGGCGCUGUAUCCAGACGUGCUGCACUCCGGGAGUGAAUGUGCGCCUUUACACAUUUUGUCCGGUACCCGGUACAAUCGCGGGUAGGGCCCAGCUGGACUCGAGAGAUGAUCGCAAUCGAAUGGGGACGCAAAAUUGUAAUUACCAAACUACACUUACUUUACCCAUGCAGACGGCUCAUGGAAUGCUAUCACGUGAAAAUCCAUCAACGCUCCCAGCUAGUAAGCGUGCGGUUUAAUGUCUCUACUAUCAGGCUCUAAAGACAUGACCGCUGAGUUCGUGUUAGAUUAAUCCGUCGUUUUACAUAGUCUGGGUUCAAUAUCAAGUGUCACUCUUUUUCUCUAACGCAAAUAAAACUCUAUAAGAAAUGUUUAUAGACUUUUAUCCAUGAAAAC
rnacentral:lncRNA from 1 species